AGUGAACGCUGGCGGUAGGCCUAACACAUGCAAGUCGAACGGCAGCACAGUAAGAGCUUGCUCUUACGGGUGGCGAGUGUCGGACGGGUGAGGAAUACAUCGGAAUCUACUUUUUCGUGGGGGAUAACGUAGGGAAACUUACGCUAAUACCGCAUACGACCUACGGGUGAAAGCAGGGGAUCUUCGGACCUUGCGCGAUUGAAUGAGCCGAUGUCGGAUUAGCUAGUUGGCGGGGUAAAGGCCCACCAAGGCGACGAUCCGUAGCUGGUCUGAGAGGAUGAUCAGCCACACUGGAACUGAGACACGGUCCAGACUACUACGGGAGGCAGCAGUGGGGAAUAUUGGACAAUGGGCGCAAGCCUGAUCCAGCCAUACCGCGUGGGUGAAGAAGGCCUUCGGGUUGUAAAGCCCUUUUGUUGGGAAAGAAAAGCAGCAGGUUAAUACCCCGCUGUUCUGACGGUACCCAAAGAAUAAGCACCGGCUAACUUCGUG
rnacentral:rRNA from 1 species